AUUGUUUAAAAUUAAUUUAGCCAUCUUUCUUUUGUUUUUAUAUUAGAUUAUUUAUAAUGUAACUUUUAUAAUGUUAAGCCUUUGGAAUUAAUUUAGCAAGAAAAAAAAUUGAAAUUAUUGAUCAAACUUUUAUAAUGUUAAAACAUCUAAAAUUAAUUCUUGCACAUCUUAUAGGCAUGCCGAGCAACAAUGAGAUAUUCUUUAUUUAAAAGAGAAUAAGAUAAUAGUUCAUAUUGCUUUUAAAAUAUUAUAGCAUUUGCAAGAAACUUUUGCAUGUUU
rnacentral:lncRNA from 1 species